rnacentral:rRNA from 1 species
CGGGGGGCAGCAGUGAGGAAUCUUGCACAAUGGGCGAAAGCCUGAUGCAGCGACGCCGCGUGGAGGAUGAAGGUCUUCGGAUUGUAAACUUCUGUUAAGUGGGAAGAAAAAGCCUGUUUUAAUACAGCAGGUUAAUGACGGUACCAUUAGAGAAAGCACCGGCUAACUUCGUGCCAGCAGCCGCGGUAAUACGAAGGGUGCGAGCGUUAUUCGGAUUGAUUGGGCGUAAAGGGUGCGCAGGCGGUGUGCUAAGUCAACUGUUAAAUUUCCUGGCUUAACCAGGAGUCAGCAGUAGAUACUGGUACGCUAGAGGGUGGAAGAGAGAAGUGGAAUUCUCGGAGUAGCGGUAAAAUGCGUAGAUCUCGAGAGGAACACCGAUGGCGAAGGCAGCUUCUUGGUCCACAUCUGACGCUCAUGCACGAAAGCGUGGGGAGCAAACAGGAUUAGAUACCCCGGU